GAUAACGGCGGUUAUCGACUGAAAUAUCGAUAUUAGAGAGAACCCGUUUAUUAUUUGAGAGAGAGAGAGUAGGAUAAAACUAGUUAGAACCGUUCUUUGAAAAUAACAAAUGGCCGAUGUCUUAAGUGGUCAUCAAACUCGUUAAAAAAAAAUAGAAUUAAAUAAAUGAACAUUAUUCAAGAACAACUAAUAAAUCUUUACACACAAGUUAUGUUAAAUAAUAAAAUAAAAUUAUCAUCCGACUCACUGUAUAAAGGAAAGGAUUGGAGUUCAAUGUGGUAUCUGGAUUAUGGAAUUGUCCCUUGUGUUCAGGGCACUAACUAAUUUUCUGGAUUGUCUACAGGAUUCUUCUUACGGGUAAUUGCACUGUUUGUUCUUCGGAAAUAGGGUCUUGGAUGAUCUCGAAGAAGUAUCGGUAAUUCUCGGAAUAGGUUGUAGGAUGAUUCUCUUUUUAUUUUAAUAUUACAUACAUUGGAGUACACGCCAAAUUUCAACAAUGAGUAAAGUUAGAAAAAUUCAAAUUUAAAUCAAGGAUUUCUUUCUCAAAAUAACGUUAAAACCUCAAAAGAUGGAUGAAAAAUGUGCUUUAGGAGCUGAACUAUAAUAAUUGAUACAUUUGGAAGUAAACAAAACGGUUUAAGAUAAGAUUUCACCAACAAAAAAUCUCUCUGUCACAAAUUCUAGGUUAUGUUCUCUCGGUGAACUAAGAGAAUGUUAAAAUUAUUACAGUAUAUACCCUUUGAUUUCAACUAAAAUUUAUUUGUGAUCAAAUCAAAACAUGAUCUGAAUAUUUUAUAACUUAAAAUAAUUAAUAAAGAUAAGAGAGAAGGAUGUCACCUCUAGUAUUCAACAUAUAUGUGCGUAGAACUUGAUGAGCAAACAACGCUGUACAACCUACAUUUUGCUGACGACCUUGUGGUAGUGUAGCCCUGGGCGAAGAAGACCUUGAAUAUAUGGCAAUAUGGGCUUGGUUAAGAAUGUAGCCAAAAAAACACAACAUCUUUGCGUGGCGAAGCAAAAGAUCUGGUGUUAAACGAUAAUACUUUAAUUGAAGGAUGCGAAGAGUGCACUUACCUUGGAACUAAGAUGGACCACAGUGGAAAAUGUGAAGCAGAAAUACGAACCCGACUACAACGGGGUAAAAACAUAACAAAACCCAUAAACUCCCUUUGUUGGUCAACAAAGAUCUCAAAAAAUGAAGAUAAGAACUAUAUUCCACUAUCUUCAUACCCGUACGGAUGCGAAACCUAGCAAUUAAAUAAACAAAUAGAGAACCGGCUGCUGGUAGUUGAAAUGGAUUUCUGGAGAAGAGCAACUAGCAAGGCUAAACUAGAUCCACAAACAACGAUAUUCGACGCAGUCCAAAUAAGACAGUUCUAAUGGUACGGCUUCAUUCGUUUCUAUAAAUCUCGGCGAUACGAUUUUUUUUAAUUAAAAUCUGUAAUAUAGAGGUUUUCUCAAGAACGAAUUAAGAUAUCUUAAUAAAAGAAAAACUAUUUUAAUGCAAAUUUAAUAAGCAUUCAAUGUGUUGAAUAUCAUUAAAUUAGUUCUAUAAGUUUUGACGUGGCGAUAUUUUAUAUUCAUCUCUGCAUAUCUACUUUUGACAGGCUCAAAAGAGAUACGAUGUUCUAAAUAAUAUUUUUAUCAACUUAACCUCAAUAAUCGCAACGUUAAUUUAAAAAAUCAUAUCUUCGAGAUUUAUAGGAACGAAAGAAUUAUCUUUGGUGCAUUGAAACUAGAUUAAAUUGGCUGUAAAAUGGUAAUAAAAUGAUCUUGAUAUCCCAAUUACUUUCAGAGAUAUCAUUCCUUUAAAAUUAGUAUUAACAAUCAUAGCCUGUCAAAAGUAGAUAUGCAGAGAUGAAUAUAAAAUACCGUCACGUCAAAACUUAUAGAAAUAAUUUAAUGAUAUUAUACACAUUGAAUGUUUAUUAAAUUUGCUUUGUUGUG